rnacentral:misc_RNA from 1 species
UUUCCGUAGGUGAACCUGCGGAAGGAUCAUUACUGGGUUCCAAGGCGUCAAGCCUACCACCCGCCCUCUGUCAUAUGCAACGGUAUUGCUUCGGCCGCUGGCCCUCCUCGCUGCGGCGCUCCUCGGGGCGUCCGGCGGGGCGGGGUCACGGUCGGUCUCUCAACUCCAUGUACUGAACGUGUGUGUCUGAUGCAAAAAAACAAAACGAAAAGCAAAACUUUCAACAACGGAUCUCUUGGUUCUGGCAUCGAUGAAGAACGCAGC